rnacentral:rRNA from 1 species
AGAACGAACGCUGGCGGCACGCCUAACACUUACGAGUCAAAGCAGCAAUGCGCUUGGAGAGGAGUUCGCGGCCGAUUAGUUAGUUGGCGGGGUAAUGGCCCACCAAGACGAUGAUCGGUAUCCGGCCUGAGAGGGCGCACGGACACACUGGAACUGAAACACGGUCCAGACUCCUACGGGAGGCAGCAGUGGGGAAUUUUGCGCAAUGGGGGAAACCCUGACGCAGCAACGCCGCGUGGAGGAUGAAGCCCCUUGGGGUGUAAACUCCUUUCGAUCGGGAAGAUAAUGACGGUACCGAUAUAAGAAGCCCCGGCUAACUUCGCGCCAGCAGCCGC